UAGUGCCGGCUACGUGCAUUAGUUAAAUGAGAGAUUACAAACAAAAUUUAGGAAAUUAUUAGUGUCUAAUUGUUGGGCAUUCAAUACCGCGCAUUUUAAUAAUCAUAUAGAAGUUUUAGAUUUUUUAAUUCAGAGGAGUUAGGUGUAUGAACUAAUGACGAACCCCCAGCUUUGCAAAAUAGUGAAUUAUGUAAAUGUGAAAAUUAGGGCUUGUAUGCGAUGCUACUGCCUGGACUUUUAUUAGUGGAACACCAGGUCAUACUUCCCGACAUGGUUGGUCAAAAAUCUCAGAGCGCAACUUCGCAGCUUCACUGAUGUUUCCUUUGCCUUUAGUGUGAACAAGUUGUUGCGAAGUCAAGAGACAAAUUGCGGAAACAUGUUUUUUGUGUUAAUAAAAUGUGAAAUGGUUUACCAUUAUUCUUAAAUAA